rnacentral:lncRNA from 1 species
CAGCGACCUCUGUUUCCACCACAACCACUUCGGCCGCAGGAGCCUCGGCUGGUGGUGGUGGAGGAGGAGUAUUAUCUUCUUCCUUGACUUCAACAGCGGCGGGUGCAUCCGUUACUAUCUUGGGUUCUUCUGAAAUUGCAGCAGCAGGUGUCUCUUCCUCUUUUUCUUCUUUCUUCUCUUCCUUGUUUUCUUCUUCUUCUUUCUUUGGCUCAGGCUCAGCUACAGGUUUUUCUUCUGCUUCGGGUUUGGCAGUGAACUCGUGGUUGUUAAGGGCUUCUUGAAUAAGCUGCUUAAGCUCAUCAAGGGCCUUCUUUUGAGGCUCAGGAAGUUCACCAGCGAUAUUAGUUUCCUCUUUGAAGGAAACAGACUGGGUUAUCUUAGUUUCUUCCUUUUCUUCAACC